rnacentral:rRNA from 1 species
AAUGGGGGGAACCCUGAUGCAGCGACGCCGCGUGAGGGAAGAAGGUUUUCGGAUUGUAAACCUCUGUCUUCGGUGACGAUAAUGACGGUAGCCGAGGAGGAAGCCAUGGCUAACUACGUGCCAGCAGCCGCGGUAAUACGUAGAUGGCAAGCGUUGUCCGGAAUUACUGGGUGUAAAGGGAGCGUAGGCGGGGGUGCAAGUUGGAUGUGAAAAACCCAGGCUCAACCUGGGAGGUGCAUUCAAAACUGCAGUUCUUGAGUGAAGUAGAGGCAGGCGGAAUUCCUAGUGUAGCGGUGAAAUGCGUAGAUAUUAGGAGGAACACCAGUGGCGAAGGCGGCCUGCUGGGCUUUUACUGACGCUGAAGCUCGAAAGCAUGGGUAGCAAA